rnacentral:lncRNA from 1 species
AUUACUACAGCUUUCCAGUUCAACACUUCUACUUCUUCUUCUUUGUCUUCUUGCUUAGGUCGUUGUGUGGGUGUAGCAUUAGUCCCAAAGCAAGUUUCCUGGAGUGGAUGGCCACAAAGCCCUGCAUUCCCUUCGAAUGAAGAUUUUGGUUGUCCCGUAAUCUGUGUUCCUUGUGGUAUUUCACCCUUGAGCUGGUUGUGGGACACAUUUAUGUACGCCAAAAAUGAGAGGGUCCCAAGCCCAUUAGGAAUAAACCCUGAGAGUUGGUUUCUUGAUAGGUCUAGUGACUCGAGAUUGCUCAGAUUUGCCAACGACAAAGGAAUAUGACCUGUGAAGGCAUUGUUUGAGAAGUUGAGUGCAAUCAGCGCUUUCAAGAGACCAAUGGAUUCAGGAAUCUGUCCUUCAAUUCUAUUCCCAGAAAAACCAAUGGUCGCGUAGGAAUUAAGGACCAACGCUUGUUCCAUAUAUAGACCUUUGUAUUGCAAAUCUACAGCCUCUACAUUGUUAUAGUACAAGUUCCCGUUAGUACUUUUUUUGCGUAGCAUAUAAAGACCACCAUCUUCAUUCAUAGUAGGGGAUGUUGCUUUCCAAUUGACAAAGUAUGUUGGUGGCAAGCUUCCAGUAAACUUAUUAUCAGAUAUCUCAAAUAUACGCAGCUCCGGAAACCCGAGAGGACCUUGACCAGGAAGAGAUAUAGAUCCAUAGAAUUUGUUUGAACUGAGGAUAAGGACUUGCAGAUUUGGUAAAGCCUUGAGCCAAAAAGGAAACUUGUCUUUGAUUCUGUUGUGGUCAACAGCCAGAAACUCGAGAGAUGAACAAUUCUGAAGAGAUCCUGGAAGUUUCCCGGUGAGUAGAUUGUGUCCAACAUCAAGUGAUCGUAGAGAAGAACUGAUAUAAAAUGCGUCAGGAAUACUUCCUUCCAAGUUGUUCUUCCGUAGAGUCACAAAUGUCAAGUUACUCAAGCAUUGAGGAACUGGACCUGUGAGGUUAUUGUAACCUAGCAAUAAAUCCGUGAGAGAUCUACAUUUGCACAUUGAAAGCGGUAUGCUCCCUGUGAAUUUGUUGUACUGUGUACUCAACAUGCUGAUAGAGAGUGGUAGAAUAGGAAUUUCUCCUUCGAAACAGUUUUGCUCCAGAUUUAAUUCUUUCACUGAUGAGUUUACCAAAACAUCCACUGGACCUUCGAAACCAUUAAGCGAAUUGUUUUUUAGAAAAACUGUGGUCAGACGAGGAAGGUUCCAUAACCACUCGGGGAUUUUCCCUUUGAUUCUGUUGUGUGACAAUGUUAUAAGCUCCAACUUCUCAAGGUUCUUUAAGAUAUUUGGGAACUCGAUGAUGCCACAGCUUUGUAACAACAAACUCUCCAAGUUUGUUGGAAUGUCUAAACUUGUAUCUAAACUGGCCGGAGAUAUAGGAUUACCGGAAAGAUAGAGAACCGACAAAGAUUUUAGCGGGGCGAAGAGGCGUAUAUCAAUCGGGUAACUUGUGUUUAUGAAAGAAAGGUCAAGAAUCUUGAGGUUGAUGAGCUUUGAGAUAGGCUCUAUGAUUUUUCCUUCAAAAUGGUUCUGCCCAAGGUAUAAGUACUCGAGCAUAGAUGGGGUAGAGGAAUUAGGAAAAUUAAUAGAUCCGUUGAGAUCGUUUCCACUAAGAUCAAGAUCUGAUAAGGAAGGCAUGGUGAAGAGAGAAGAAGGAAUGGUUCCAUAGAAGUGAUUCUCAUAAAGAUGUAGAAGAGAGAGCAUGGUAAGAUUUUGUACAGGUGGGAAACUACCAGUGAACUUGUUUUUGUCAAGGUGCAACUCUUUUAACGAGGUUAGGUUCCUAAUUGUAGGAGGAACUUGCCCGAAAAAGUCAUUGGAGGAAAGAGACAAGAGCUCGAGUCUGUUGAGAUUUCCAAAUUCAGAAGGUAGUAACGACCUGAACUUGUUGUAGCUUAUAUCUAAAACUGAGAGAUUUAAUAGAUUCUGUACAAGUGGGAAACUACCGGUGAGCUUAUUUUCGGAAAGGUCUAAAACAGAAAGAAGGCUUAGGUUAUUAAACGAGGAAGGAACUUGGCCGAAGAAGCUAUUAUUGUAAAGAGAUAAGACCUCUAACCUGCUGAGAUUGCCAAAUUCAGAAGGAAGUGAAGAUGAGAUGAAGUUGUUUCCACUGAGAAAAAGGUAACGAAGAUGGUAUAACCUGAAGAGGCUACUAUUGGGCUUUAGAGUUCCACUGAGACAGGCCUUGAGUCGUAGCUUCGUGACGGCACCCGUUGAGAUAUCGCACCUGACUCCGUUAAAGGGAUCACUGAGGUUGCAGUGGCUGCUAUCAAACUCAUCCAUGAACUCAGUGAGAGCUUGAGUCUGAUGGGGACCACAAGCAACAUAACUACUUUUAUCGAUGUUUAAUGUGAAUAAGCUUGAAGGGGAGACACAACAGAGCAAGAUUAGCGAGAGAAAAUGCAAACGCACACGGGAUUCAGACAUGGUCUUUAUGAAAAGUUUUGAAGAAGAUUUAUUUUGGUUUAAAAAAAAGUGAGGGAGAAGGUUGGUGAUAUAAAUAGAGAUAUGUGGGUUUCAACUGGAGCUAUUAUGUCACCCAUACAACUCGACUUAUAAGAAGUCAGAGCUGAGUGAUGUCUUUGUAUUCUAGCUUGGAAAAAAAAAUAUGGCUAAGUGGCUAAUUUCCAUUCAUAUCAUGAAGUGAAAUCCACGUUAGUUGAUUUUUCUAGCGUAUAACUUGGAUUGGAAUAGUUUAACAGAAAUAAACAAAACUUGGUUCGAAAUUUCUCACAUGUGUUCAAAACGACAUGCACAUAAUGUUUGUGGAGUGUCAAUUUGCAGACCUGUUAACGUGAAGGACCGUCACAGACAAAGUGGUCACAUAUAUAUUGGUUUAGCUAACAAAAGACCUUACAUGUCUGAUGUAUCACACACUAAGCGCAGUUUCUCGGAAUCGCAACCGACGAACAUCUCAUGGACCUUAGCCGACUGAUGAUUAUAGAUCACUUUCAGUUUGUCGCCGGAUUGAUGAUUAGAUCUAUUAACGAAAUCAUCGGAAAAAUACAACCGCAGGCGAUUGAUGAUUAGAUUUAAAUCUACAUGUUCCAUACCAGUCGGUCUGAAUCACUUGAUGAUUCUGGCUAUGGAUAAACUUCGCUCCAUCAUGUUCAUUCUAAAAUAGUAAAAAUCUACUCUCAAAAGAUAGAAGAUCAAAGCAUAACCGAUAACACAAAGAGAUCUACACAUCAAUCCAACAUUUGGAGCUUUCCGAAAUUAGAUCCGAAAGCUAUAUGAACAUGCAUAAGGUGAGGAAAAUAAAGCAAAAACAAAGAUAGCCGAAUAUAAUUGGAGCGAGUUAAGGAAAAUUUCAGCAAGAGAUAUGGUGGUGGGAAGGCUACCAAUGCUAAACCCAACAGCUUGAACAAAGAGUUUGGGUACUUGAGCUCCACCGUCAGAAUGAAACACAAAAAAUUUCUUUCUAGUCUCUAUUGAUAUGAUAUUAACUUGUUUGUCUUUCUCGUAGGUCUAAACUAAAGGAGCAUAUGCAGUACUGUGUGGAUCAUCCUGAGGAGAUUAACAAACUUGCUAAGGUUAAGGCUCAAGUAACUGAGGUGAAAGGAGUUAUGAUGGAGAACAUUGAGAAGGUCAGGAUAGUAUUAUCUAUGUUAAUCUCACAGCUCUGCUUUAUAAUUAAUUUGAGCAUAUUUGUCAUAACUGGCUUGAAUUUGUGAAGCUGACUAAGCUUUAUGUAAUUCAUUUAUUUUCAGGUCCUUGACCGAGGUGAGAAAAUCGAGCUUCUAGUGGACAAAACUGAGGAUCUUCGUUCACAUGUUAGUGCUUACCUUUCACUUAUAUGUGUCUUAGGUUUUUAAUAACAUUCUUUUUCAGCAGUAUUAAUUCCUUUUGAACUAAUCAAAGAAAAACUCAUGUGUAUACAUAUAAACACAUAACAAGGCAUUAGAUUUAUAUUUGCCAUUUGAAUAACAACAGGCAUAAGAUUUCAGAACACAAGGAACAAAAAUAAGAAGAAAGAUGUGGUGGGAGAACAUGAAGAUUAAGCUCAUAGUCGUUGGUAUCAUCAUUGCAUUGAUUCUCAUCAUCAUCAUCUCGGUUUGUCCUGGCUUCAAGUGUACUUGAAAAGAAGAACAGUUUGAGAGAUUAUAAGCCCCUUAUUGUUAUACUAACCUGCUCCUCCCAGUAUUUUCCCUUCUAUUUUGAUCUUUUUGUUCCGCAGUGUCUCUUUUAUAGUUAUUUUUAAUUUUGUUAGCAAAAAAGCAAUACGAUGAGCAGUAUUUAGAAAUGAUCCUUUGGGUUGUGAAUGUUUGGAAACUGAUUUAAGCUGUUGGGGUUUGCUUAUACAUAGGCUAGGUCUUUGUGCUCAUGGUGAUGGCAUGUUUUUUUUGUAAUCUUGAAUCGAAUGUUGGGUUUUGCCGUUUCCUUCAAUCUCCUAAUUUUCUCAUUAGGGGAAAAACAUUAUAUUAGAUCGUUGUGUUCAUGCUUAUUUGAUAGAAGAAGAAAUAAGCAAAGUAUUAGAUUAAGAUACAACAAACAUAAGAUAGUGCUUUAAUACAACUAGUUGACAGACAAGGAAAGAUCAAAGUCAGACAGCAACAAUUCUAACGAUACACACAAAAAAACACACAAGGAAAAUGCUAUAUAAUACAUGAUCAACAACUACUUGACAGACAUUGAAAGCACAAACUUAAAACGGAAACAAUCCCAACGGUUUAUGCGGUCGCACCAGGUAUAGCCUUGAGCCAAAAAAAGAAACUUGUAUUUGAUUCUGUUGUGGUCAACAACUAGAAACCUUAACGACUGAAAGACUUCGGAUUCUUUACAGAAAGGAUAAAUAGAACAAAACAUCAGAUAAUGAUACAACAAACAUAAGGAAAUGCUUGCAUACAUGAGCAUUUAAAACUAAGACAUACAUUCAAGGAUUACACUCAUACUGCUUCUGCGCUUACUGGGACCAACUAUCUUGAGGAGCCACUCCGGUUUGUAUGAAGCAACGAGCUGUGCUAUUGCCAGUCCAAGCAACACUCCAAGGCCAUAUCCAAUAUCUACAGCUUUCCAGUUCAACACUUCUUCCUCUUCUUCAUCUUCUUUAGGUUGUUGUGUAGGUGGUACAUUAUUAGUCCCAAAGCAAGUUUCCUGGAGAGGAAGACCACAAAGCCCUGCAUUUCCUUCAAAUGAAGAUUUAGGUUGGCCAGUAAUCUGUGUUCCUUGUGGUAUUUCACCCUUGAGUUGGUUGUGAGACACAUUUAUGUACUCCAAAAAAGAGAGGCUCCCGAUUCCAUUAGGAAUAGUCCCUGAGAG